rnacentral:rRNA from 1 species
GAACGCUAGCUACAGGCUUAACACAUGCAAGUCGAGGGCAGCAUGGUCUUAGCUUGCUAAGGCCGAUGGCGACCGGCGCACGGGUGAGUAACACGUAUCCAACCUGCCGUCUACUCUUGGACAGCCUUCUGAAAGGAAGAUUAAUACAAGAUGGCAUCAUGAGUCCGCAUGUUCACAUGAUUAAAGGUAUUCCGGUAGACGAUGGGGAUGCGUUCCAUUAGAUAGUAGGCGGGGUAACGGCCCACCUAGUCUUCGAUGGAUAGGGGUUCUGAGAGGAAGGUCCCCCACAUUGGAACUGAGACACGGUCCAAACUCCUACGGGAGGCAGCAGUGAGGAAUAUUGGUCAAUGGGCGAGAGCCUGAACCAGCCAAGUAGCGUGAAGGAUGACUGCCCUAUGGGUUGUAAACUUCUUUUAUAAAGGAAUAAAGUCGGGUAUGGAUACCCGUUUGCAUGUACUUUAUGAAUAAGGAUCGGCUAACUCCGUG